rnacentral:rRNA from 1 species
AUUGAACGCUGGCGGCAGGCCUAACACAUGCAAGUCGAACGGUAACAGGAAGCAGCUUGCUGCUUUGCUGACGAGUGGCGGACGGGUGAGUAAUGUCUGGGAAACUGCCCGAUGGAGGGGGAUAACUACUGGAAACGGUAGCUAAUACCGCAUAACGUCGCAAGACCAAAGAGGGGGACCUUAGGGCCUCUUGCCAUCGGAUGUGCCCAGAUGGGAUUAGCUAGUAGGUGGGGUAACGGCUCACCUAGGCGGCGAUCCCUAGCUGGUCUGAGAGGAUGACCAGCCACACUGGAACUGAGACACGGUCCAGACUCCUACGGGAGGCAGCAGUGGGGAAUAUUGCACAAUGGGCGCAAGCCUGAUGCAGCCAUGCCGCGUGUAUGAAGAAGGCCUUCGGGUUGUAAAGUACUUUCAGCGGGGAGGAAGGGAGUAAAGUUAAUACCUUUGCUCAUUGACGUUACCCGCAGAAGAAGCACCGGCUAACUCCGUG